ACGUACACUCCUGCGGGAGGCAGCAGUGGGGAAUAUUGCACAAUGGGCGCAAGCCUGAUGCAGCGACGCCGCGUGGGGGAUGAAGGCCUUCGGGUUGUAAACUCCUUUCGCUAGGGACGAAGCUUUUUUGUGACGGUACCUAGAUAAGAAGCACCGGCUAACUACGUGCCAGCAGCCGCGGUAAUACGUAGGGUGCGAGCGUUGUCCGGAAUUACUGGGCGUAAAGGGCUCGUAGGUGGUUUGUCGCGUCGUCUGUGAAAUUCUGGGGCUUAACUCCGGGCGUGCAGGCGAUACGGGCAUAACUUGAGUGCUGUAGGGGUAACUGGAAUUCCUGGUGUAGCGGUGAAAUGCGCAGAUAUCAGGAGGAACACCGAUGGCGAAGGCAGGUUACUGGGCAGUUACUGACGCUGAGGAGCGAAAGCAUGGGUAGCGAACAGGAUUAGAAACCCGUGUAGUCCCAUG
rnacentral:rRNA from 1 species